UACAGAGGUCUCAAGCGUUGUUCGGAUUCAUUGGGCGUAAAGGGUGCGUAGGCGGCUUUGUCAGUCAGUGGUGAAAUAUGGCAGCUCAACUGUCAAGGUGCCAUUGAUACUGCGGAGCUUGAGUACAGAUGAGGUAGGCGGAAUUGACGGUGUAGCGGUGAAAUGCUUAGAUAUCGUCAAGAACACCUAUAGCGAAGGCAGCUUACUAGGCUGUAACUGACGCUGAGGCACGAAAGUGUGGGGAUCAAACAGG
rnacentral:rRNA from 1 species